AGCUUUGCGCAGUGGCAGUAUCGUAGCCAAUGAGGUUUAUCCGAGGCGCGAUUAUUGCUAAAUAAAUAAAUAAAUAAAUACUUUUAAAAUUUCUUAAAAAAAAAAAAGCUA
rnacentral:snRNA from 1 species